rnacentral:lncRNA from 1 species
AGGAUGAAAAAUCAAGCAGAAAUUCCAAAAAUAUUAAUUUUAUCGAAAUUAGAUUUUUGCGUAUACCUCAUACAACAUAUCUAUUUCCUCUUUUUGAUAUUAUCAAAUAAGAUAAAUCAAACGUACUACAUAAGCCAUUCAUAGCAUAUUUGCUCAAUUUAUAAGAUAAAAGAUAGUCAUAAGCAACAUAGUGUUAGAAAAUCAGGUAGGUAGCAUAUGUAUAUUUCAAAACUUUGAAAACAGGCA